rnacentral:rRNA from 1 species
UACGUAGGGUGCAAGCGUUAAUCGGAUUUACUGGGCGUAAAGCGUGCGCAGGCGGUGUUGUAAGACAGAUGUGAAAUCCCCGGGCUCAACCUGGGAACUGCAUUUGUGACGGCAUCGCUGGAGUACGGAAGAGGGGGAUGGAAUUCCGCGUGUAGCAGUGAAAUGCGUAGAUAUCUGGAGGAACACCGGUGGCGAAGGCGGCAUCCUGGACCGGCAUUGACGCUGAGGAGCGAAAGCCAGGGGAGCAAACGGG